CACUAAGCGGGAGGUAAACUCCUUCUAAGACUAAAUAUUACCAUGAGACCGAUAGCGAACAAGUACCGUGAGGGAAAGUUGAAAAGCACUCUGAAUAGAGAGUCAAAAAGUACGUGAAACUGUCUAGGGUUAAGAAAGCAUGAAGUGUCUAAAUAUCUGAAUGGAGAAAUUCAGUAUCAUAUUGUUGUAGUAAUAUUUUAUUGCGAAGCAUAUGGUAUGCACUUUUCUCCUUGUAAGACACUGCGAUCCAUUAGAACCUUGUGUUAAUAAUUACCAUGUUGUGAAUUAUUAUAUCUAUCAAUGGGCCUGACAUGGAGCUUACAUAUUUAAUGUGAGUACUGGAUAUUGUUAAGGUGAUAUACAGGAAAGCAAUGUAAACUGUUGGUGUCUCGUAUAGAUGUCUGAUGGAUUUAAAUGCGAUCACAAUAUGACACCCUUGUGGUGUAACCAGUAAUGGUUUAUUGUAUUGUGUCGGAUCAGCAGUGUAUUUGUUUAGUAAUCUUCAUGA
rnacentral:rRNA from 1 species